rnacentral:misc_RNA from 1 species
GAUGAAGAACGCAGCGAAAUGCGAUAAGUAAUGUGAAUUGCAGAAUUCAGUGAAUCAUCGAAUCUUUGAACGCAACUUGCGCCCUCUGGUAUUCCGGAGGGCAUGCCUGUUUCAGUGUCAUGAAACCUCAAUCCCCCAGGGUUCUGCUCUGUUGGGUGCAUUGGAUUUGGGCGUUGCCGGCCUGGCCGGCUCGCCUUAAAGGCGUUAGUGGGAUCAGCAGACCCGAUCGGCGUAAUAAGUUUCGCUGAGGAGGUUUGCGCGAGCCCGCUCACAACCCUCUCCUUUGGAGAACACUCUUUUGAUCUGACCUCAAAUCAGGUAGGACUACCCGCUGAACUUAAGCAUAUCAAUAAGCGGAGGA